rnacentral:rRNA from 1 species
CGCUCAACAGCUAGCCCACCCAAACAACUUCAACAAACCCUUAUUAAUAACCCCUAAGUACCCCAGUAUUUACACUAAACAAACCAUUUUUCCCCCUUAGUAUAGGCGAUAGAAAAGAGAUUAAGGCGCAAUAGAGAAAGUACCGCAAGGGAAUGCUGAAAGAGAAGUGAAAUAACCCAGUAAAGCCUAAAAAAGCAGAGAUUACAACUCGUACCUUUUGCAUCAUGAUUUAGCAAGUGUACCCCAAGCAAAGAGUACUUUAGUUUGACGUCCCGAAACUACGUGAGCUACUCCAAGACAGCCUAUUACAGGGCACACCCGUCUCUGUGGCAAAAGAGUGGGAAGAGCUUUGAGUAGAGGUGAUAAACCUACCGAACCUAGUUAUAGCUGGUUGUCCAAGAAAUGAAUAGAAGUUCAGCCUCUCAGCUUCUCUUUUCACCUUAGUCUGACCCCUAAUUGAUGCAUUAAAGAAACUAAGAGAGUUAGUCAAAGGGGGUACAGCCCCUUUGAACCAAGACACAACUUUAUCAGGCGGGUAAAGAUCAUAAUAACUAAAGCUAAAUAUUCUGGUGGGCCUAAAAGCAGCCAUCCCCUUAGAAAGCGUUAAAGCUCAGGUAUUUCACUUAACCUUCUUAUUCUGAUCACUAAUUCUUACCCCCCUAACCGUACUGGACCGUCCCAUGCUCGCAUGGGAGCGAUUAUGCUAAUAUGAGUAAUAAGAGAGCCAAGACUCUCUCCCCGCACACGUGUACGUCGGAACGGACAACCCGCCGACUCUUAACGGCCCCAAACAAAGAGGGUGCUGGAUCAUAGACCAAACAACUAGAAAACCAUCCACAAACUAACCGUUAGCCCUACACAGGUGAUGCCUCCCGG